GCCGGUGUAGCUCAGGGGUUAGAGCAUCUGUUUUGUAAACAGAGGGUCGUGGGUUCGAAUCCCUCCACCGGCUCCA
rnacentral:tRNA from 1 species